rnacentral:rRNA from 1 species
GAGACUCUGUGCGCGUGCAUAUCAAUAAGCGGAGGAAAAGAAACUAACAAGGAUUCCCUUAGUAACGGCGAGUGAAGCGGGAAGAGCUCAAAUUUGAAAUCUUCAAGGUUCUACCUUGACGAAUUGUAGUUUAUAGAAGUGUUUUCUGUUAGUAGAGUGGCAAAAGUUCUUUGGAAUAGGACAUCAUAGAGGGUGAGAAUCCCGUAUUUGGUCAUUCUUUCUAGCUUUGUGAUACACUUUCAACGAGUCGGAUUGUUUGGGAAUGCAGUCCAAAAUGGGUGGUAAAUUUCAUCUAAAGCUAAAUAUUGGCGAGAGACCGAUAGCGAACAAGUACCGUGAGGGAAAGAUGAAAAGAACUUUGAAAAGAGAGUUAAACAGUACGUGAAAUUGUCAAAAGGGAAGCGUUUGACACCAGUGUUGUUUUUCCGAAAAUCAAUUACGAAUGUUUUAUUUUUGAGAAGUUAUGACUUCAUCGGCUUGCUUCUCUCUUUACGAAACUUUCUUAAUGCACUUUUCGGUUAACAAGUCAACAUCAAUUUCUUUUGUUGUAAAAGGGUAUGAGGAAGGUGGCUUUCUUUUCGGAGAAAGUGUUUAUAGCCUUGUACCUCUGCAAUCGGAGAGAUUGAGGUCUGCAGCGUAGAUCCUUCGGGGUUAGAUACAUUUGUGCUAAGUUAUAGCUUUUCAUAGACAACUUGUUGACUAUGUUUAGUCUUGUAGCUUACUCGCUUAUGCUAUUUUACCUACGCUUAGGAUGUUGAACUCUAUCACACACAG